rnacentral:rRNA from 1 species
CGGCGGACGGGUGAGUAACACGUGGAUAACCUACCUAUAAGACUGGGAUAACUUCGGGAAACCGGAGCUAAUACCGGAUAAUAUUUUGAACCGCAUGGUUCAAAAGUGAAAGACGGUCUUGCUGUCACUUAUAGAUGGAUCCGCGUUGCAUUAGCUAGUUGGUAAGGUAACGGCUUACCAAGGCAACGAUGCAUAGCCGACCUGAGAGGGUGAUCGGCCACACUGGAACUUAGACACGGUCCAG